UACGUAGGGGGCAAGCGUUGUCCGGAAUUAUUGGGCGUAAAGCGCGUGUAGGCGGUUCGAUAAGUCUGCUGUAAAAGUCGGGAGCUCAACUCUCGAAAGCCGGUGGAUACUGUCGGACUAGAGUACGGAAGAGGCGAGUGGAAUUCCUGGUGUAGCGGUGAAAUGCGCAGAUAUCAGGAGGAACACCAAUUGCGAAGGCAGCUCGCUGGGACGUUACUGACGCUGAGACGCGAAAGCGUGGGGAGCAAACAGG
rnacentral:rRNA from 1 species